UAACCAAUGUGCAGACUACUGUACACCAGUAUGACAAUGAACAGGUAGUCUGAACACUGGGUGGA
rnacentral:pre_miRNA from 1 species